GUGCCAGCAGCCGCGGUAAUACGUAGGUGGCAAGCGUUGUCCGGAAUUAUUGGGCGUAAAGCGCGCGCAGGCGGUUCUUUAAGUCUGAUGUGAAAGCCCACGGCUCAACCGUGGAGGGUCAUUGGAAACUGGAGAACUUGAGUACAGAAGAGGAAAGCGGAAUUCCACGUGUAGCGGUGAAAUGCGUAGAGAUGUGGAGGAACACCAGUGGCGAAGGCGGCUUUCUGGUCUGUAACUGACGCUGAGGCGCGAAAGCGUGGGGAGCAAACAGGAUUAGAUACCCUGGUAGUCC
rnacentral:rRNA from 1 species